UACGAAGGGUGCAAGCGUUAAUCGGAAUUACUGGGCGUAAAGCGCGCGUAGGUGGUUCAGCAAGUUGGAUGUGAAAGUCCUGGGCUCAACCUGGGAACUGCAUCCAAAACUACUGAGCUAGAGUACGGUAGAGGGUAGUGGAAUUUCCUGUGUAGCGGUGAAAUGCGUAGAUAUAGGAAGGAACACCAGUGGCGAAGGCGGCCUGCUGGGCAUUAGCUGACACUGAGGCGCGACAGCGUGGGGAGCAAACAGGAUUAGAAACCCCGGUAGUCC
rnacentral:rRNA from 1 species